rnacentral:rRNA from 1 species
UUACGGGAGGCAGCAGUGGGGAAUUUUCCGCAAUGGGCGAAAGCCUGACGGAGCAAUACCGCGUGAGGGAUGACGGCCUAUGGGUUGUAAACCUCUUUUUUCAGGGAGGAAUCAAAUGACGUGUACCUGAAGAAUAAGCAUCGGCUAACUCCGUGCCAGCAGCCGCGGUAAGACGGAGGAUGCAAGUGUUAUCCGGAAUCACUGGGCGUAAAGCGUCUGUAGGUGGUCCAAUAAGUCAACUGUUAAAUCUUGGGGCUCAACCUCAAAAUCGCAGUCGAAACUAUUAGACUAGAGUAUAGUAGGGGUAAAGGGAAUUUCCAGUGGAGCGGUGAAAUGCGUAGAUAUUGGAAAGAACACCGAUGGCGAAGGCACUUUACUGGGCUAUUACUAACACUCAGAGACGAAAGCUAGGGUAGCAAAUGGGAUUAGAUACCCGGGUAGUCCC